rnacentral:rRNA from 1 species
AUGAGCUACUACGGCCAGCAGCAGCCGCCCGUCGGCGUGCCUCCACCGCAAGGGAAAGAGGAGUACCCGCCGGCAGGCUACCCUCCGGCCGGGUACCCACCGCCGGGGCAGGGACAGGGGUAUCCUCCCCAGGGAUACCCGCCGCAGCAGGGUUAUCCGCCACAGCAAGGGGGGUAUCCGCCGCAGCAGGGUGGGUACCCGCCGCAGCAAGGGUACCCGCAGCAGGGGUACCCGCCUCAGUACGCGCAGCAGCCUCCGCGGCAGCAGCAGAGCAGCGGCCCCUCCUUCAUGGAGGGAUGCUUGGCUGCCCUUUGUUGCUGCUGUCUGUUGGAUGCUUGCUUCUAA